rnacentral:lncRNA from 1 species
UUGAGUUUCAGCUGGUAGAUGUACACGUAAGCAUCCAUGAUGGUUGAGCUCUUUUGCACCUACAAGCAGUCAAUUGAUCUUCAGAUGGAAGCAGAAGUAAUAAAAAAGGAAAGAACAUUGGAAAAAAAGAAGUGUUGAAAAGGGUUUUACAGAUUGGGAAUGAGUGAUCAUUCUGAGAAUGUGAAGCUUUCUGCGCAAUGCAAUCCUCCUCUGCAUCCUGCACACCAUUGUUUUUCCUCUGUUUUCCUCUGUUCUCGAGUAAAUAAAUGGUUGAAUUUAUAUUGGUGCGAUAAAGAGAGAUUUUAUUAGAUAAGUGAGUGGGAUUUACCCUUUAUAUUGGGAUCUAGGAUGUUGGGGAAAGCUACU